rnacentral:rRNA from 1 species
AUUGAACGCUGGCGGCAGGCCUAACACAUGCAAGUCGAACGAGUGGCGGACGGGUGAGUAAUGUCUGGGAAACUGCCUGAUGGAGGGGGAUAACUACUGGAAACGGUAGCUAAUACCGCAUACCCUCGGAUGAGCCCAGAUGGGAUUAGCUAGUAGGGGGGGUAACGGCUCACCUAGGCGACGAUCCCUAGCUGGCCUGAGAGGAUGACCACACACACUGGAACUGAGACACGGUCCAGACUCCUACGGUAGGCAUCAGUGGGGAUUAUUGCACAAUGGGCGCAAGCCUGAUGCAGCCAUGCCGCGUGUAUGAAGAAGGCCUUCGGGUUGUAAAGUACUUUCAGCGGGGAGGCGUUACCCGCAGAAGAAGCACCGGCUAACUCCGUGCCAGCAGCCGCGGUAAUAC